CAGCGGGCGUGGCCACCCAUCCCACCACCACCGAUUAAAAACUUAGUUAUUUUAACUUUGUUUAAAAAAUAUUUUUAUAUUGAUUAUUUAAAUAGUGAUUUUCAAUUAUUAUUAAUUUCUUAAUUAAAAUAUAAAAAGAUAUUGUAUUGGGGAUCCGGCACGGGUAACAUUUUCACCGAGAAUCCCUCUGCAAAUAUCGACCAACAAGCGUACACACAGCGAACAACCAACGAACGCACGCAACAUCGCAUUAAUGUGUGAGAUAGUUGUUUACGCAUACGAUUUCUUACGUCUUUGAUUGUAUAACAAUUCCCUUUCCUUCUUGUUGAUUCUCCUAUGUACUUCCUCCUUAUGUUAUUUAAGGU
rnacentral:sRNA from 1 species